GGUUGUAUAGUGUAGCGGUCAUCACAUCGGAUUCUGAAAAUACGAAGUUUCCGGGAACCCCGGUUCGAUUCCGGGUACGACCU